rnacentral:rRNA from 1 species
UACGUAGGGUGCAAGCGUUAUCCGGAAUUAUUGGGCGUAAAGAGCUCGUAGGCGGUUUGUCGCGUCUGCUGUGAAAACCCGAGGCUCAACCUCGGGCCUGCAGUGGGUACGGGCAGACUAGAGUGCGGUAGGGGAGAAUGGAAUUCCUGGUGUAGCGGUGGAAUGCGUAGAGAUCCGGAAGAACACCGGUGGCGAAGGCGGUGAGCUGGGCAGUUGCUGGCACUGAGGCGCGACAGCGUGGGGAGCAAACAGG